GACGAACGCUGGCGGCGUGCCUAAUACAUGCAAGUCGAGCGCUGAAGUUUGGUCCUUUUACCGACUGGUUCAUCAGCCGACGGGUGAUUACCGCGGGGUGAGUCUACCUUCGAGCGGGGGACAACAUUUGGAAACGAUUGCUACUACCGCAUAAUAUAUUUAAACACAAUGUUUCAGUUUGAAAGUUGCAAUUGCAUCACUCAAAGAUGUUCCCACGUUGUAUUAGCUAGUUGGUGAGGGAAAUGCUCACCCAGGCGAUGAUAGAUAGCCGACCUGAGAGGGUGAGCGGCCACGUUGGGACUGAAGGACGGCCCAAACCCCUGCGGGAGGGAGCAGUAGGGGAUUUUCGGCAGAGGACGAAAGUCUGACCGAGCAACGCCGCGUGAAUGAAGGAGGCUGUCGGGUCGUGAAACUGAUGUAGGAGAGAAGGACGUAAGGGAGAGUUGAAAGCGCAGCAAGUGACGGUACCUACCCAGAAAGCGACGGCUAACUACGUG
rnacentral:rRNA from 1 species